rnacentral:rRNA from 1 species
UACGUAGGGUGCGAGCGUUAAUCGGAAUUACUGGGCGUAGAGCGUGCGCAGGCGGUUUUGUAAGCCAGAUGUGAAAUCCCCGGGCUUAACCUGGGAAUGGCAUUUGGGACUGCAAGGCUGGAGUACGGCAGAGGGGGAUGGAAUUCCGCGUGUAGCAGUGAAAUGCGUAGAUAUGCGGAGGAACACCGAUGGCGAAGGCAAUCCCCUGGGCCUGUACUGACGCUCAUGCACGAAAGCGUGGGGAGCAAACAGG